GUGCUCCCUUAGGCUGAUCACAUACUAAAGUUGGAACAAUACAGAGAAGAUUAGCAUGACCCCCUUACAAGGAUGACACACAAAGUUUUUAAACAUCAAUAUAUAUGU
ensembl:snRNA U6 U6 spliceosomal RNA